rnacentral:rRNA from 1 species
ACGAACGCUGGCGGCGUGCUUAACACAUGCCAGUCGAACGGAAAGGCCCUGCUUUUGUGGGGUGCUCGAGUGGCGAACGGGUGAGUAACACGUGAGUAACCUGCCCUUGACUUCGGGAUAACUUCAGGAAACUGGGGCUAAUACCGGAUAGGAGCUCCUGCUGCAUGGUGGGGGGUGGAAAGUUUCGGCGGUUGGGGAUGGACUCGCGGCUUAUCAGCUUGUUGGUGGGGUAGUGGCUUACCAAGGCUUUGACGGGUAGCCGGCCUGAGAGGGUGACCGGCCACAUUGGGACUGAGAUACGGCCCAGACUCCUACGGGAGGCAGCAGUGGGGAAUAUUGCACAAUGGGCGGAAGCCUGAUGCAGCAACGCCGCGUGCGGGAUGACGGCCUUCGGGUUGUAAACCGCUUUCGCCUGUGACGAAGCGUGAGUGACGGUAAUGGGUAAAGAAGCACCGGCUAACUACGUG